rnacentral:rRNA from 1 species
GAUGAACGCUGGCGGCGUGCCUAAUACAUGCAAGUCGAGCGAACGGACGAGAAGCUUGCUUCUCUGAUGUUAGCGGCGGACGGGUGAGUAACACGUGGAUAACCUACCUAUAAGACUGGGGUAACUUCGGGAAACCGGAGCUAACACCGGAUAAUAUUUUGAACCGCAUGGUUCAAAAGUGAAAGACGGUCUUGCUGUCACUUAUAGAUGGAUCCGCGCUGCAUUAGCUAGUUGGUAAGGUAACGGCUUACCAAGGCAACGAUGCAUAGCCGACCUGAGAGGGUGAUCGGCCACACUGGAACUGAGACACGGUCCAGACUCCUACGGGAGGCAGCAGUAGGGAAUCUUCCGCAAAGGGCGAAAGCCUGACGGAGCAACGCCGCGUGAGUGAUGAAGGUCUUCGGAUCGUAAAACUCUGUUAUUAGGGAAGAACAUAUGUGUAAGUAACUGUGCACAUCUUGACGGUACCUAAUCAGAAAGCCACGGCUAACUACGUG